ACGCUCGACACCUACGGGGGGCAGCAGUGAGGGAUAUUGGUCAAUGGGGGAAACCCUGAACCAGCAACGCCGCGUGAGGGAUGACGGUCUUCGGAUUGUAAACCUCUGUCCUCUGUGAAGAUAAUGACGGUAGCAGAGGAGGAAGCUCCGGCUAACUACGUGUCAGCAGCCGCGGUAAUCUGAGCGGGCUGGCAAGGC
rnacentral:rRNA from 1 species